GGAUGUGAUCAUACCAGCACUAAAGCACCGGAUCCCAUCAGAACUCCGAAGUUAAGCGUGCUUGGGCGAGAGGAGUACUAGGAUGGGUGACCUCCUGGGAAGUCCUCGUGUUGCAUUCC
rnacentral:rRNA from 1 species